rnacentral:rRNA from 1 species
GACGAACGCUGGCGGCGUGCUUAACACAUGCAAGUCGAACGAAGAGCGAUGGAAGCUUGCUUCUAUCAAUCUUAGUGGCGAACGGGUGAGUAACGCGUAAUCAACCUGCCCUUCAGGGGGGGACAACAGUUGGAAACGACUGCUAAUACCGCAUACGAACUUAUCUCGGCAUCGAGGAUAGAUGAAAGGUGGCCUCUACAUGUAAGCUAUCACUGAAGGAGGGGAUUGCGUCUGAUUAGCUAGUUGGAGGGGUAACGGCCCACCAAGGCGAAGAUCAGUAGCCGGUCUGAGAGGAUGAACGGCCACAAUGGGACUGAGACACGGCCCAGACUCCUACGGGAGGCAGCAGUGGGGAAUCUUCCGCAAUGGACGAAAGUCUGACGGAGCAACGCCGCGUGAGUGAUGACGGCCUUCGGGUUGGAAAGCUCUGUUAAUCGGGACGAAAGGCCUUCUUGCGAAUAGUGAGAAGGAUUGACGGUACCGGAAGAGAAAGCCACGGCUAACUACGUG